GGAGCAGCAGUGGGGAAUAUUGCACAAUGGGCGCAAGCCUGAUGCAGCGACGCCGCGUGAGGGAUGACGGCCUUCGGGUUGUAAACCUCUUUCGACACUGACGAAGCUCUCUUUUCGGGGGGUGACGGUAGGUGUAGAAGAAGCACCGGCUAACUACGUGCCAGCAGCCGCGGUAAUACGUAGGGUGCAAGCGUUGUCCGGAAUUAUUGGGCGUAAAGAGCUCGUAGGCGGUUUGUCGCGUCGGCCGUGAAAUCCAUACGCUUAACGUGUGGCGUGCGGUCGAUACGGGCAGACUUGAGUUCGGUAGGGGAGACUGGAAUUCCUGGUGUAGCGGUGGAAUGCGCAGAUAUCAGGAGGAACACCGGUGGCGAAGGCGGGUCUCUGGGCCGAUACUGACGCUGAGGAGCGAAAGCGUGGGGAGCGAACAGGAUUAGAUACCCUGGUAGUCCACGCUGUAAACGUUGGGCGCUAGGUGUGGGGCGCAUUCCACGUGCUCCGUGCCGUACGUAACGCAUUAAGCGCCCCGCCUGGGGAGUACGGCCGCA
rnacentral:rRNA from 1 species